CACUGCCGAGAAAAGCCUCUAGAUAGAAAAUAGGUGCCCGUACCGCAAACCGACACAGGUAGUCAAGAUGAGAAUUCUAAGGUGAGCGAGCGAACUCUCGUUAAGGAACUCGGCAAAAUGACCCCGUAACUUCGGGAGAAGGGGUGCUCUUUAGGGUUAACGCCCAGAAGAGCCGCAGUGAAUAGGCCCAAGCGACUGUUUAUCAAAAACACAGGUCUCUGCUAAACCGUAAGGUGAUGUAUAGGGGCUGACGCCUGCCCGGUGCUGGAAGGUUAAGAGGAGUGGUUAGCUUCUGCGAAGCUACGAAUCGAAGCCCCAGUAAACGGCGGCCGUAACUAUAACGGUCCUAAGGUAGCGAAAUUCCUUGUCGGGUAAGUUCCGACCCGCACGAAAGGCGUAACGAUUUGGGCACUGUCUCAACGAGAGACUCGGUGAAAUCAUAGUACCUGUGAAGAUGCAGGUUACCCGCGACAGGACGGAAAGACCCCGUGGAGCUUUACUGUAGCCUGAUAUUGAAAUUCGGCACAGCUUGUACAGGAUAGGUAGGAGCCUUUGAAACGUGAGCGCUAGCUUACGUGGAGGCGCUGGUGGGAUACUACCCUAGCUGUGUUGGCUUUCUAACCCGCACCACUUAUCGUGGUGGGAGACAGUGUCAGGCGGGCAGUUUGACUGGGGCGGUCGCC
rnacentral:rRNA from 1 species